CGCGCGUUCGGUUAUGGGUAGGCCCCUGGCCUUUCAAGCUGGUGAAGCGGGUUCGAGUCCCGCACGCGCGACCA
rnacentral:tRNA from 1 species